rnacentral:rRNA from 1 species
CCUUCGGGUGUCAGUGGCGGACGGCUGAGUAACACGUGGGUGACCUGCCCUCGAGCGGGGGAUAACUGCCCGAAAGGGUGGCUAAUACCGCAGAUCUCCGGGCUUCGGUGUCUGGAGUGAACCUUUGGGGUUUGAGGAGGGGCCCGCGGCCGAUUAGCUAGCUGGUGGGGUAACGGCCUACCAGGGCGACGAUCGGUAGCUGGUCUGAGAGGAUGAUCAGCCAGACUGGGACUCCGAGACGGCCCAGACUCCUACGGGAGGCAGCAGUUAGGAAUUUUGGGCAAUGGGCGAAAGCCUGACCCAGCAACGCCGCGUGGGUGAUGAAGGCCUUCGGGUUGUAAAGCCCUUUUCCAGGGGAAGAUAGUGACGGUACCCUGGGAAGAAGCCCCGGCUAACUACGUGCCAGCAGCCGCGGUAAUACGUAGGGGGCAAGCGUUGUCCGGAUUUAUUGGGCGUAAAGCGCUCGCAGGCGGUUCGAUGCGUCGUGCGUGAAAGACCCCGGCUCAACUGGGGAGGGUCGUGCGAUACGGUCGGACUGGAGGCCAGUAGGGGGACGCGGAAUUCCGGGUGUAGUGGUGGAAUGCGUAGAGAUCCGGAGGAACACCAGCGGCGAAGGCGGCGUCCUGGACUGGUCCUGACGCUCUGGAGCGAAAGCGUGGGGAGCGAUCCGGAUUAGAUACCCGGGUAGUCCACGCUGUAAACGAUGCGCACUAGGUGUCGGGGGUAUCGACCCCCUCGGUGCCGCAGCUAACGCGAUAAGUGCGCCGCCUGGGGACUACGGCCGCAAGGCUAAAACUCAAAG